rnacentral:rRNA from 1 species
GAUGAACGCUGGCGGCGUGCCUAAUACAUGCAAGUCGAGCGAACCGGGGACGGGUGAUUAACACGAGGAUACCUUUAUAUAAGACUAGCAUAACUUCGGGAAACCUGAGCUAAAUCGGAUACUUAUUGAUGGUACCUCGCUGCAUUAGCUAGUUGGUAAGGUAACGGCUUACCAUGGCUGCGAUGCAUAGCCGACCUGAGAGGGUGAUCUGCCACACUGGAACUGAGACACGGUCCAGACUCCUACGGGAGGCAGCAGUAGGGAAUCUUGCGCAAUGGGCGAAAGCCUGACGGAGCAAUGCCGCGUGAGUGAUGAAGGUCGUCGGAUCGUAAAACUCUUUUAGUAGGGAGGCGGUACCUAAUCAGUAAGCCACGGCUAACUACGUGCCAGCAGCCGCGGUAAUAC